rnacentral:rRNA from 1 species
CAGCAGCCGCGGGAAUACAGAGGAUGCAAGCGUUAUCCGGAAUGAUUGGGCGUAAAGCGUCUGUAGGUGGCUUUUCAAGUCCGCCGUCAAAUCCCAGGGCUCAACCCUGGACAGGCGGUGGAAACUACCAAGCUGGAGUACGAUAGGGGCAGAGGGAAUUUCCGGUGGAGCGGUGAAAUGCAUUGAGAUCGGAAAGAACACCAACGGCGAAAGCACUCUGCUGGGCCGACACUGACACUGAGAGACGAAAGCUAUGGGAGCAAAUGGGAUUAGAUACCCCAGUAGUCCCUGUCUCUUAUAC